GGAAGUUGCUGCAGUAGGAGAAGCGUAUAAUUUUGUAUAUAACAAAGUACGUAUACAGAAGAAAUGCAAUAAAGUUAUCUUGCUUUCGGAGGCAGAUGCCUGCUGUUUGUGAACGCAGUCGUGUAAGACAUUUAAAGAGAGCUGCUGAAGGGUGAUGUGUUUUAAUGGCAGAAUUGAUGUUUCCAUCAGUCAGCAGUGAUUAUGUUUGCAGAAUACAGGUCCAUCUUUGCUCUGGACCUUUUAUCUCAGGCGGUACGACCAGACAAAUUCCUCCUGUCCUCCAAUUCUGGGUCACUUCUGUUUCCUCACGUGAUUCACUUUGAGAAAAUGACAGUGCCGAACCAACCCGCCUCCUUCCCCAAACAGGAGCCCGAUUUAGCUCUGCCCUUCUGAACUCAACACCACAGAACUGUGUGUCAUUCCUCAUUCAGUUCAGGUUUCAGCAUGAAUGCUCUGGUAUGAAGCGACUGGAGAAUUAAAGAUGAAUUAAUUGAUACGUUCAUUGAAAAAAGGGAGAGAGAGAAGGUGAAAUAUUAGGCAAUAAUGCAAUCAUGCCUUCAUUGCAUGCAAAUGCCGUUCAGUUAUCAUUUUGGAAAAUUAAAAUGAUUAUUAAAAAUUCUGUAAUUCUGCUUUUGCAUGCAUGAAGAAAAUUCACAUGCUUUGCAUGCAUAUUACAUACUGCAGAAAUAGUAUGAGGAUUAUGUUAAUAUGCUAUUCCAAAAUGUUCAUGUCUAUGUCCUAAAACAU